AUUUUUUUAAAUUCAGUGGGUGCGGCUUAUAUUCAGGUGCGCUUAAUAGUCCGGAAAUUAUGGUAAUAUAAUAUUAUAUGUUUGAAGAGUAGUCUCACUUGUCUUAUGAGAAAGAAUGAAUGCUAGGACAUUUCAGAGAGCAUGACCCAAAGAGGAGGGAGGGAGAGAGAGAGAGAGAGAGAGAGAGAGAGAGAGAGAGAACAGGUAGUUUAUCUGAAGAUUUGUAAUGUGUCUAGUGUAGAGAAGUUGUCUUCAGGACAAGUUCAAGGAGAAGAGAGAUUUGUGGUGUAAUACUGCUGUUAUACUGCCCCCUGCAGGAUUUGGGACUUCAACCACACAGAAGAGGUUUUAUUUUGUAAUACCCUGACAAGAUGUACUGUCUCUCGUACACCAUGUCCUCAGUGAGCAGGGAUUUACCAUAAUGUGAGAUUUAAAUUCUUAUUAACUCUUUCUCUCUCUCUCCUCUGUCUCGCUCCCCUCUCACUCCCCCUCUCACUCCCCCCUCUCCCCUCUCUAUGUCCCUCUCGCUCUCUCGUUCUCUCUCUCUUCCCCCCCACCAGGCGUUGUCGUACCUGGGUCUGGACGUGACGGAGGAGAAGAGGGGGAAGCUGAGACAAAGUCUUAUCACUGACCCACAGGGAACCGUGUCCUACGGAGACUUCGUUGAGGCCACACGCAACGUCUACCAAGAGAAUCUGGAGGAGGCGGGACUAGGGCAGAAAGAGUUCAUGUUCUCCUAUCACGAAGCAGCUAGCUUGAUGGACACCUCUGCCUUCCACUCCCCGACCUUUGAUUCAGAAUGCUCCUACAGUAGUGAAGAACUGGAACACUUCCAGACGGAGGUGAAACAGCUGCAGAACCAGAUUAAACAACUCAAGUCCAUUCACAGUCAACCUGCUGGUUUUCCUACACUACCCCAGAUCAGUCAACAUGCUGGUUUUCCUGAACUACCCCAGGUCAGUCAACCUGCUGGUUUUCCUACACUACCCCAGGGCAGUCAACCUGCUGGUUUUCCUACACUACCACAGACCAGUCAACCUGAUGGUUUUCCUACAUUACCCCAGGUCAGUCAACCUGAUGGUUUUCCUACACUACCACAGACCAGUCAACCUGAUGGUUUUCCUACAUUACCCCAGGUCAGUCAACCUGAUGGUUUUCCUACACUACCCCAGAUCAGUUAA
rnacentral:lncRNA from 8 species